rnacentral:rRNA from 2 species
GUCCUUUAGAAUUUAAUUUAAGGUCUAACCUGCCCACUGAAAAGUUUUAAAUGGCCGCAGUAUUUUAACUGUGCAAAGGUAGCAUAAUCAUUAGUCUUUUAAUUGAAGGCUUGUAUGAAUGGUUGGACGAAAUAUUAACUGUUUCAUAAAAAUUGAUUUAGAAUUUUAUUUUUUAGUCAAAAAGCUAAAAUUUUUUUAAAAGACGAGAAGACCCUAUAGAUCUUGAUAUUUUGUAUAUUAUAAUUAUGUAGAUUAGGUGAGUUAUGAUUAUAUAAAGUAUUUUGUUGGGGUGACAUUAAAAUUUAAUUAACUUUUAAUUAAUUAUUACAUUAAUUUAUGAAUAAUUGAUCCAUUAAUAAUGAUUAUAAAAUUAAGUUACCUUAGGGAUAACAGCGUAAUUUUUUUGGAGAGUUCAUAUCGAUAAAAAAGAUUGCGACCUCGAUGUUGGAUUAAGAUAUAAUUUUGGGUGCAGCAAUUCAAUUAUUAAGUCUGUUCGACUUUUAAUUUCUUACGUGAUCUGAGUUCA